AUUUCUGUUUUCUAUACUGAAACAGUCUUUUAAAUGAUUGCAUUCAUUGAUUAAUUCCUUAUUUUUCUCUUCUAGAAGACCUUCUUUUUCACUCUCAAAACAGCAGCUUUGGAUAUUAAUUACUAUUUGUUCAUUAUCCCCUUUCUUAUGAGCACCAUCUAGUUGCUGUUCAAGCAACAGAUUUUCAUGUUGUAGUUGAGAUAUCCGCUCCUCUAAUAGUCUCGCUUUCCUUUAUUUGAUGCUGUGUUUGGCUUAGGUCCUUUGGCACACAUUUUUUUUUUUUUUUGAGUUAAAAGAUAACAAUUAGUUACUGAACAACUUUCUAAAGCUGGAAUUAAAUUCAAUACCCUAAAAAGUAAACUCCAUGAGACAAGAAGUUCUCACAGAUAAUUUUGUAUUGUUCAGAUGGCCAAAUUAAGUCAUCAAGGCCAUCCCUAAAAUGUGUUCGCUUUUUGACCUUUUGAUGCUUUCUUUGCAGGCCUGUCAUACUUUCUCCUUCCUAGGAAAUUGCUGAUGGUAGGUUUUCGCAUCUUGUCUUUGUUGCAUUGAUCCAUCAUCGUCAGCAGAUGUACUAUUAUAUAGGUUUUCUGAUACCUCUAUUUUUUUUUUUUUUUUUUUUUUUACUUUUGUGCUUCUUCCUCCUUCAACCUGUGGUUAUUUAUUUUCACUUUUCUCAGGCCUUUCUUGUUCUUCCUCUGAAGUCACUUCUAAGUCUUGUUCUGCUCUAGAUGUUUGUACAUCCUUUCUUUUUACUGCAUUCCUCACAACAGACUUUUCCAUUUCAGUGGUAGGCUUCAAGGAAAGAUGUUUUACAGGAGGCCCUUCUCCUUUUACCAUAUUUUUUCUUCUUUUUUAUAUAAAGGUUCAAGUAAAGACUCUGAAGCAGUCUCAGGGUUAUACUACUUGGUAGUAAAAGUCAAGUCUUCAUUAUCUAGUUUACGGCAUGAAUCAACACACAGAUCUUUGAAAUACUUAAUGCAGAUUCGUCAGAACUCCCUGAAUCUUCUACACUUGCUCCUCCUUUUUUCAAACUUGCAUUCUUAGAUGCUUCUGGAUCGUCAUUUUGAAGACCAUUUUCAAGUAUCUUUUUUUAUGUUGCAAAAUUUGUUGUUGAAUGCUAGUCAAAGCACCAGAAAUUGCAUAAUUGUUUGCUGUCUGUACAUACAUAUUUUGAAUAAAGACAGUAAUAUUUUGUUGAAGAAUGCCGACUAUACCUAAUGAGCCAUAAUGUACAGCAGGCAUGAGGACUGUUCCUCCCAACCUAUCAACAGCAUGUACAUUUGCUUGUCACCAAAAAUUCCAGCAUUUGCUGUCUUUUGCAAACUGCAGCAAGUAAACGUGGUGUGUUUCCAUCAUUGUUCAGCACUUCAAUAUCCAUAUCACGGGAAAGUAGUUUUUCUACCAGGAAUGUACUCUCAUUAUAGGACAGCACAGUGGAGAGCAGUGUUGCCGUAGAUAUCCACGUUCCGGCAGAAUGAUGCCACAAAUCUCUUCCUGGCGAUGUACAACCUUCUCAAAGACGUCCCAUUUUGUUUGUCACCAAUGUCAAUGUGGUAUUUUCAGUUCACCAGGAGAGUCCCCACUUCCACAUGGCCAUUGGCACAGGCCAAAUGUACAGCAGCCCUGUCCAUCCACAGCUGAAGGGAUAAAGAAACUGCCAUACAGAUACACACAGAAUAUGCUUCAGUCAUAAAGCUUUAGGAAAUCCUGUCAUCCACAGCCACAUGGAGAAACCCAGAGGACAUUAGGUCCAAGAAAAUGAGCCUGGUGGAGAAAGUCCCACACUGCAUGAUCUCAGGCAUGUGGACUCCUAAAAGCUUUAUCUACUGCCCGUCCACAGAUGAAGGGAUCAAGAAACUCUAAUAUAUAUUCACAAAGAGAUAGUCUUUGGCCAUCAAGAUAAUUAAAGGAUGUCAUCUGGAGGAACACAGACGGCCCGCCGAGGCUGCAGCUGCCUUGUCCUGCACUGUGGAUGGAAGCCACUGUUCUGACAAGAGGCUGAGCUUAGGUGGUAAUGCUUGCUACUGCUGUGCAACCAGGUUCCUGACAGGCCCGGGACGAUACUGGUCCAGGGGUGGGGGACCCCUGCUCCAGAUGACAGCCAGAGUAGUCUUAAAUGACCUUGUGCUGUGCACGAAGGUGGUAUGCAAUCAGAAGACGUCUGAGGAGACAAGUAUGCGUCUCCCACCACAACAUUAUGUGAUGCUUGGAGUAAAAACAGUCAUCCCUGUUCCUACCUACAAUUGUAUUAUUCAAUAAAGAUUGCUGCCAGACAUGGUGGCUCAUACCUGUAGUCCUACCAUUUUGGGAGGCCGAGGCCGGGCAGAUCGCUUGAGACCAGGAUUUGAGACUAGCCUGGACAACAUGUCCUCCUCUGUAUAGCCUUGGAAAACAGAUCGGUGGGAUAGCAGUGAAAGACAUCAUGAUACCAAAUAGAAACAAGGACUUGGAAGACACACUGGACCUCUUAAUUUCCAGGCCACUUGACAGUAGAUACAGUUCCUUACAAAAGAACAUGGCUUGAUAUUGGGAAAAGAGGGUGCUGGAGAUGAGGGAAGAUGAAUUAGCCACCAAGACAGUUCACCUUGCAAUUCAAUCAUUUAGAUCUAAUUGAAGAAUGAUUGCUGCCAUGUUCCAGAACAAGAAUGAAAGCCGUAUUCCACAAUGAAAUGGCGAAUUCAUAUCUUCUGUGUUAGAUUCUAGGAAAAAAGGAAGUAAAAGAAAUACAGAAAGGUCCUUGAUUCACACCUUUCAUCCCUCCCCAUCUGCGCUUUAUUCUUCCUAACUAUAAAUCCCAUGCUGAAAUUCUACUGUACUCAAUAAGCAUAUAAUCAUAUUCAGGA